AGUUAAAGGAAACCUGAAACUUCUGAUGCCACCACCAUAAUCAUUGGUCGUCUAGGUUUCUUAUGUUUCUGAGAUUAAAGUGGGUACUGAUUUUUCUCUCACCAGUUUUUUGCUAUUACUUUUCAACAAGCGCUUGUUGAGUUUAACUAGAAACAAUGGAUAAAUAUUGGAUUGCUAAGCCACGAAACUCAGAUGAAUACAUAGUCGGUCUAGAAAACUUCUUGGAUUUUGCAUUUCAACAUGGAGCAAUUGAG